GGGCGACGUGGCUCACCGUGAGUUUAAUAGGGGUGGCAGCAGGAGGGUGCCGGCGGGGUAGCGUUGUUCCUUAUCGCUUCUCGGCCUUUUGGCUAAGAUCAAGUGUAGUAUCUGUUCUUAUCAGUUUAAUAUCUGAUACGUCCUCUAUCCGAGGACAUUAUAUUAAAUGGAUUUUUGGAGCUGGGAGAUGGAAUAGGAGCUUGCUCCGUCCACUCCGCGCAUCGACCCGGUAUUGCAGUACUUCCGGGAACGGUGCACCCCCUCGGGGGACAAAACUUACGGUGCUAAUAGUAGACUCUUGCACAUUUCAGCUGCUGGGCUGGUU